rnacentral:rRNA from 1 species
ACCGCUUUCGCCUGUGACGAAGCGUGAGUGACGGUAAUGGGUAAAGAAGCACCGGCUAACUACGUGCCAGCAGCCGCGGUGAUACGUAGGGUGCGAGCGUUGUCCGGAUUUAUUGGGCGUAAAGGGCUCGUAGGUGGUUGAUCGCGUCGGAAGUGUAAUCUUGGGGCUUAACCUGGGAACUGCAUCCAAAACUGGCGAGCUAGAGUAUGGCAGAGGGUGGUGGAAUUUCCUGUGUAGCGGUGAAAUGCGUAGAUAUAGGAAGGAACACCAGUGGCGAAGGCGACCACC